rnacentral:rRNA from 1 species
GGGGAAAGCUUUUGCGGUGUGGGAUGGGCCCGCGGCCUAUCAGCUUGNUGGUGAGGUUACGGCUCACCAAGGCGACGACGGGUAGCCGGCCUGAGAGGGUGACCGGCCACACUGGGACUGAGAUACGGCCCAGACUCCUACGGGAGGCAGCAGUGGGGAAUAUUGCACAAUGGGCGCAAGCCUGAUGCAGCGACGCCGCGUGGGGGAUGACGGCCUUCGGGUUGUAAACCUCUUUCAGUAGGGACGAAGCGCAAGUGACGGUACCUACAGAAGAAGGACCGGCCAACUACGUGCCAGCAGCCGCGGUAAUACGUAGGGUCCGAGCGUUGUCCGGAAUUACUGGGCGUAAAGAGCUCGUAGGUGGUUUGUCGCGUUGUUCGUGAAAACCGGGGGCUUAACCCUCGGCGUGCGGGCGAUACGGGCAGACUUGAGUACUGCAGGGGAGACUGGAAUUCCUGGUGUAGCGGUGGAAUGCGCAGAUAUCAGGAGGAACACCGGUGGCGAAGGCGGGUCUCUGGGCAGUAACUGACGCUGAGGAGCGAAAGCGUGGGGAGCGAACAGGAUUAGAUACCCUGGUAGUCCACGCCGUAAACGGUGGGUACUAGGUGUGGG